CACGUAGGAGGCGAGCGUUUGUCCGGAAUCAUUGGGCGUAAAGAGCGCGCAGGCGGCUUGGCAAGUCGGGUGUGAAAUCCCGGGGCUCAACCCCGUGACUGCCUCCGAUACUGUCAGGCUAGAGGUAGGUAGGGGAGAUCGGAAUUCCUGGUGUAGCGGUGGAAUGCGCAGAUAUCAGGAGGAACACCAAUAGCGAAGGCAGCUCGCUGGGACGUUACUGACACUGAGGCGCGAAAGCGUGGGGAGCGAACAGG
rnacentral:rRNA from 1 species